UUCUCCAGUCCUCUGUUUGUACUAUUGAUGCAACUACAAAUGCACUCUUCUACAUCCACAAACUAACUGAUGUUGCGUUUCUUGUUUCAGACAUGUCAUACACGUAGUAAUAAUGCUUUACAAGAUGCUUCAGAAUUCAAAAAUGUAAUAACUUCAACCAAAAUUUUAACAUUGGUUCAAACAGGCUUAUACAAGGGUAACAUUGACAUUAACAAUGUUUAUAAUAAAUGCUUCAAAUAAUGUUCCUCAUGUGUGCCACACUUAAACUUUUGAUUCCUUCAGUCGACAUUGCAAAUUUAAUGAAGUUGGCAACUCAUAUCAUGAAAUAUUUGAAGACAUAUAUUGGCAGCACCUUUGAAGAAAUCCGCUGCCAUUUUGCAUGUUUGAAGGCCAUGGCGGCAUUUUAGAUAAUUUUAUAUUUCAUUGCUGCGCAUUUCACUUUGCAAAAAGGAUUCAAUUAAUACUCGGCGUCGUUUCCUCUUUGUUGUAUAAAUCGACCAAUGCUUUGAAGAACUCAAGAGCUGAAACUAAAAUGCAUAACUUUUGCAUUCGCAACAAUCGCAUCAGUAGCCACUGGAAAAUUCUUCGUACUUUUGAUAGUACGGAGCGGAUUAAUCCAAAUGUUAUAGGUUGGUUUUAGUUCAAGUUAUUGAUGAUGAAUAGCGGUUACGUGUUCGGCAUGGUGGUCUACACUUGCAUAAACUCAGCUGUGACUUAAUAUCUGAAUGUAUGAUGUUAAGUCAAAUGAUGGUAACAGCCAUGGGACCAGAUGAGGAAGAUAGAGUUCGAAGAUAUGGAAAUGAGUAACCAUGAUGAAUUACUUAGCAUGUCACAUAUUCCCUUAGCGGAAAUGCGUGCAAAGAUGCAUAUGCAACAACUGAUGGGUUCCUUUAGGCCGAACUGUGUAUUGAUCGACUGCGAAAUUAAAAGUAGUUUACAAAUAAAUAACGGAGGAGAUGGUGGUGUUGCCUUUGUUUGUACAAUUCGAGGUGAUGUAUGCAACAAUGCCAGAGCUGGCAGCUCUAUGGAUUUCAGUGUUAGUAGCCAUGCAUUUUUCAAAAGUCAGCGCAGAACCAGUACACACAUUUGUCUUGUGUGCCACCAUUAUUUGCCAGACCGAUGGAAUUGAUCAGCACUACCCCAUAUAGCAGUGGUGGCAGUGUAGGCCUAAACGCCGGCGCUGGCGUUAGUGUUGGUAAUUCAUUAAUGAACAAUGCAAAUAACGAGGGAGACUUUAAUGCCAGGAUGUACUAUCAGCUCUAAAAGUCGGAUUGCAACAACUUCGACGAUUUUAAAUCUGUAUAAGCGGCAUGACACCGCGGCCCAUCACAACCACAAUUUCAAUCAUCAUGGUAGUGGCAAUAGAAGUGGUUCUCACCAUCGUUUGGAAAUUGCGGCCAUAUCUUCUGGUACUGCUAGUGCUGCUGCAGAUGCAAAUGGAACAGGAUCUGCUGGCGUAUCGGUGUCGACGUUAAUGAAUAACACACCAGCAGCCACUGCACCAGCGCAAGUAGCGCCAAAUCAUGUGGAGUUGUGCGAUUGCAAAAUAGAUCUUAAUGCUAUGUUUCUCAUGAGUUUGCUACCCGAUAUACAAAAAUUAAAUGGACGAGAUCGAGGCAACAUCAAAAUUGCUUUUCAGAACAUGCUGCAGGACUACUUGUAUCCGGACUAGGUGUGCAUCAGUUGCUAUAAUUUCAUGUACACGCUUAAAAGUGAUAUUUCGUUACAAGAAGAAUACAAUUGGCAGUGGAUGUUCGGAAAUGGCAGCUAAGUCGUCAACAAUAAAAAUUUAAUGCUCAUUUAGAGCUGUGCUAAACGUUUAUGUAAGUGAAAGCCUAUGAUUUGAUUUUAUGAGGCGUUACACAAAUUUAUAAAUAUAAGGUGCUAAACACUAAAGAAUUGGUUAGUCUUCGGUUGCAUGAAAAUACCCAAACUCAUGUCGUACCAGUAAGAAAUCAUUUAUUUCUGCACCUGCAGUCUUUAAGCUCUAGGUUAAAUUGUUGACGAAAAAACUAAAUAUUUUUACAACACAGUCGUCCAUACCUUACUGUCAGAUAUAUAUAUCCCCACUUAGAAGCAAGGCGCAUUCAUUAAAGAUGGUGGUACUACACUUGACACUGUUUCAUUCUGUGCUGACAGCCACAUGGACAUGGGAAAAAAACAAUUCAGCUCAUUUAACGAUACUUGGAUAUCAGCUUUAAUAGAUUCGCCUUGCUUAGAAGUGAUAUUGCAUUGCAUUUGAGCAAUUAAUAUUUUUAUAAAUGUAUACUUGUAAAAACUGUUAUUUUUCGCAAGAAUAAAAUUGAAAUUUGAGGUUUUGAAAUGCAAGCAACCGAAAUAAUGUAGCCAGCCAUAAAAAUAUUAAAUGAAAUGGUAUGGAGGUGUGCUAAACUAUAUGUAGAUGGAAGCCUGAGAUUUAGUUUUAUGAGACUGUGAACAAAUUUAAAGAAUAUUAUAAGGUGCUAGCCACACAGAUUUUGUUAAUUUUCAGUAGUGCGUAAAUACCAAAGCCCCCAUGCCAUGGCGGUAUGUAAUCCAAACAUUACUGAUUUGUUAUUCAGAUGUUUUAAUUCAUCUGAUUUACGUAUAUUUUACUUUAUUUACUUUAUUUUAUUUAUAGAAUAUUUCCAAACAUAAUUUUAAUUCAAUAUAUUUAGAUAUAAGUAAAAACGCACAUAAUCCUUAGGUAUGCAAUUUAUCAAUACCCUGCAGUAGAAAUGGUGCAAUCAUUCCAAUCUGCUAUGUUGCUGUGCUUUAAUUUACUACUUGAAUUUUUGGUACUAGCUUUUAAAUAUUCCAAUUUUGCGUCAUUCGAAAAGUGAAUUCGUCAAAAAAAUGUGUUAUCAUUAAUGAGAGCGUUUUUAAGAUUAAACCAUUUUUACACUUUUUGCGGAGUACGCUAGGCAACAACACUGCCUGCAAUUCUCGUUCAAAUAAGAGCGCGUAUGCGCGUUUCCACUUUAAAAUUUUUGAUUAAGCUCCCAUUGAUUUGAUUUCCAUUUCAUUUUUAUUGUCUUCAAAAUCUAAAUCUUUCGAGAAGUAUAAGUCACAUGGACUUAAAAGUCCCGGGCCAAACAAAGAAAACUCGUUUUUUUUUUUGUUGUUCAAAACUACCUCUAUUCAUCAACGUAAUUUCCAUCAAGAACAACGCAAUCAUUCCAGCGCCGCUCUAACAUUUCAAUACCGAACGAAAUUUCUUACCGGCGAGCAUUUUUUUAGGCCCCAAUAGUCACUGGGAGCCAAAUAUGGCGAAUGCGGUGGCCAUUCGAAGUUCAAAUCAUGUAGUUUUGCAUUGUUUUUAUUGACUUGUGACUUCUUGUGUUUGGUCAACAGUGAGUAAACGCGACACCACUUUGAACAGAGGUCAGAGGUUUGUCAUAGUCAGCUGCUCAUGCAGUAUAAAGCAACCACAUUUUUUGAUAUCUUUACGAUAUGUCAGCCAACUCACGCUAAUUUACUUUUCGAUUAUUCAAAACGAUUUUGUGGAUUUUUUUGAUGUUUUCUGUUGUCACCGCCCCCUCUGGACGUCCACUGCGUUGUGCAUCAUCGCUGUCUCUAAGAUCACGUUCGAAGUCAAUAAACUAUCGUUUUAUUGUUGUUUCUUAAAGAGCGGAGUCGUCAUAAUACUUUUCAAACCAUUGUUUCGCUUGAACGGUAUUUUUUCCCAUCAAGAAGCCGUGUAAAAUUAAAACAUGAAAUUCUUUUUGAUCCAUGAUUUCGUAGCAUAAUUUUCGCAUGAGCUGGCUCGAUCCCAUCUCCAGUUUGCUUCUUGAAUCAUUGCUGCAUCUAUAACCAGUCGUUGUUUACAGAGAAGUGGUUGUAUACCGACUGUGCUAGUUGCAGAAAGAUUUAAACCUGCUUUGGCUAGUGUAUCCACUUACUCGUGUAGAAAUCAAACACACCCGCACACCUUCAUUACAAUUAUAUAUGUAUACAGUUAUCUAUACGAGCUUAAAACUCAAACUUCAACUCUUCGAUUUUUUACUUCGGUCAGACGCUUAGAUCAUUCAGUAGGGUGACCGUGCGUCCAGUAACUAGUGACGCAUUUUUAGGUAUUUAGUAAUUCUGUCCACUUCUUGAUUUUUUUCUGUUUGGCCUUCCUACAUUCGGCCGUCCUGAUCUUUUAAUAUUCUAAAUAUUACAUUUGAUACUUCCGUUAUAUUAUUUAUUCUUCCGCUCAUUGCUCUAUUUAUUAUUAAUUGGUUAUUGUUAUUUUCAAGGAAGUUGUUUAUAUGAUUUUCUAACAUAACGAGAUCUUCGUGAUCCGGGCUCCCUGUGAGCCAUUUCCAGGCGGUACCAAUUGCGUUUAUGGAUAUCUUGUUUACCUUUGACUUUAGUCUACUUAGGAAACUUUGUAUUUCGGACAUUGCAUGGUGCAAGAAGGGGAGUAAGGAAUUGCCGGAAGUUAUUUUGUGUCUUAUCGUGGAGUUGAGUUCGUUCAAAGUCCUUUGGUAUUCGUCUGUGUCUAUUGUAUGUAUAAUUUUGUUGGUCCCAUUGUGGAUUUUGGUCCAUCCUGUAUUGAAGGUUGGCAGUUGUGAAUUUGUGUAAUCGAGGAUACGGAACUCACCUGUGGCGAGUGGUAUUAUUAAUCUGAAAGCAAUAUAUGAGUUAAGUUCUAAUAUUACUUUUGUGUACGGUUCGGCCUUUUUCUGUUAUAACUACACUAGAUUUGUCUUCCUUUACUGUUAUUGGCGACGACUAAAAAAUGUUGCUUUUAUUGUUUAGCAUUUAAUCGAUACAUUACAAAUGGAGUUGGCGAUAAUAUAAAUGACAAAUGAAAUAAGAAAAUAACGAAAACUAAGAAAACUAAAACCGAGAACUAUGAAAAACUAAAACUUGUGUUCGCUGCCCGCCAUGUAUGGAAACUUGAAUUGGCUGCGGUUUGCGCCCGGCCAGUUUUUGUGUUGCCAUACGAUUGCCAAACGUUGUGAGUUACCACAUCCCACUUCAUGGCGGAUCUUCGGCGGAUCCGCAAAACUUCAAAGCGGCUAGCUUUCGUGCUGGUCGACGGAUGAUCCCAUGCGUUGUGCAGAUGUUUGCACUUCGGACUCUGUCGUCGUUUCCUUUGAACACUUCGGUAAUUCGCCCCCUUCUCCCAAUGACUUCGCAGCGCUGAGGGGUCACAUAUGAUGAGUUGUCCUGGCCUUAACCCGUCUGUGUCGUCUCUCCACUUCGAGCGACAUAGAAGUCGAGGCAAAUAUUCCACUGUCCACCUUUUCCAUGCGCGAUCCUUUAGAUUCCGUGCGAUUCUCCAUUGCUUUCGCAGACAUAGGCGGUUCUCUUUUGGAUGCGGCGUUUGCACUAGGAAAUGGUUGGGUGUGAGAGGUUCUUCCUCUUCUGGCGUAAUUGGCAGGUCUGUUAACGGGCGACUAUUGACAAUAUUUUCUAUCUCAAUUAGGACCGAGCGGAACGUUUCCAAUCUCGGUGUCUCGUCUUUGAAUACCUUAUGCAGGAGUCGCUUUGUACAUUGUAUGAGGCGUUCCCAACAACCUCCACUGCUGGGAUCGGCGGGACAGUUACACACCCACUCGAUGCGAUAUUUGGACAGCUCGCUUCCGAUGACGGCGAAAUCAAACAUUCUCUCUGCGUCUUUUAUUUCUUUCUGGGCGCCGGUACAGUUGGUGCCAUUAUCACUCCGAAUGCAUACUGGAACUCUGCGGCGAUUCACGAAGUUACGAAGACAAAUAAUAAAUGCGUCGGUUUUUUCAA